rnacentral:rRNA from 1 species
UACGUAGGGUGCGAGCGUUGUCCGGAAUUAUUGGGCGUAAAGGGCUCGUAGGCGGUUUGUCGCGUCGGGAGUGAAAACACCGGGCUUAACUCGGUGCUUGCUUUCGAUACGGGCAGACUAGAGGUAUUCAGGGGAGAACGGAAUUCCUGGUGUAGCGGUGAAAUGCGCAGAUAUCGGGAGGAACACCGGUGGCGAAGGCGGUUCUCUGGGCCUGUACUGACGCUGAGGAGCGAAAGCGUGGGGAGCGAACAGGAUUGAGACGU